GCUGUUGAGUGUUUCAGUUGUCCAUUUGGACGUUGUAUAGCUCGAUGCUAUUUCGUUUUGUUUUUAUCAGUUGAAAUUUUUGUUGAUGUCUAACGAAGUCUUCCGGUGACAAGAGUAAUUUAAAUGUCUUGCAUUAAAUGCGUUCAGAUUAUAUAACAAUCAUGAGAGCUUCUUGUCAACCGUAUGUUUAAUGACGUAGUAUGUAUACAUGUACGUACUGAAUGACCCUAUAGUUUUAUGAAUCUCUAUUGAUAAUGGCCCAGUUAA